rnacentral:rRNA from 1 species
UACGUAGGGUGCGAGCGUUAAUCGGAAUUACUGGGCGUAAAGUGUGCGCAGGCGGCAGAGCAAGUCGAGUGUGAAAGCCCCGGGCUUAACUUGGGAAUUGCGCUCGAAACUACUUUGCUGGAGUGUGGCAGAGGAAGGUGGAAUUCCACGUGUAGCGGUGAAAUGCGUAGAGAUGUGGAGGAACACCAAUGGCGAAGGCGGCGACCUGGACAGGUACUGACACUCAACUACGAAAGCGUGGGGAGCAAACAGG